GAUGAACGCUGGCGGCGUGCCUAAUACAUGCCAGUCGAGCGAACGGACGAGAAGCUUGCUUCUCUGAUGUUAGCGGCGGACGGGUGAGUAACACGUGGAUAACCUACCUAUAAGACUGGGAUAACUUCGGGAAACCGGAGCUAAUACCGGAUAAUAUUUUGAACCGCAUGGUUCAAAAGUGAAAGACGGUCUUGCUGUCACUUAUAGAUGGAUCCGCGCUGCAUUAGCUAGUUGGUAAGGUAACGGCUUACCAAGGCAACGAUGCAUAGCCGACCUGAGAGGGGGAUCGGCCACACUGGAACUGAGACACGGUCCAGACGCCUACGGGAGGCAGCAGUAGGGAAGCUUACGCAAUGGGCGAAAGCCUGACGGAGCAACGCCGCGUGAGUGAUGAAGGUCUUCGGAUCGUAAAACUCUGUUAUUAGGGAAGAACAUAUGUGUAAGUAACUGUGCACAUCUUGACGGUACCUAAUCAGAAAGCCACGGCUAACUACGUG
rnacentral:rRNA from 1 species